UGGGGAAUAUUGCACAAUGGAGGGAACUCUCAUGCAGCGACGCCGCGUGAACGAAGAAGGCUUUCGAGUCGUAAAGUUCUUUUAUAUGGGAAGAUAAUGACGGUACCAUAAGAAGAAGCCCCGGCUAACUACGUGCCAGCAGCCGCGGUAAUACGUAGGGGGCUAGCGUUGUCCGGAAUCACUGGGCGUAAAGGGUUCGCAGGCGGAAAUGCAAGUCAGGUGUAAAAGGCAGUAGCUUAACUACUGUAAGCAUUUGAAACUGCAUAUCUUGAGAAGAGUAGAGGUAAGUGGAAUUUUUAGUGUAGCGGUGAAAUGCGUAGAUAUUAAAAAGAAUACCGGUGGCGAAGGCGACUUACUGGGCUCAUUCUGACGCUGAGGAACGAAAGCGUGGGUAGCAAACAGG
rnacentral:rRNA from 1 species